rnacentral:rRNA from 1 species
CCUACGGGUGGCUGCAGUGGGGGAUAUUGCACAAUGGGGGGAACCCUGAUACAGCGACGCCGCGUGGGUGAAGAAGCGCCUCGGCGCGUAAAGCCCUGUCAGCAGGGAAGAAAAUGACGGUACCUGAAGAAGAAGCCCCGGCUAACUACGUGCCAGCAGCCGCGGUAAUACGUAGGGGGCAAGCGUUAUCCGGAUUUACUGGGUGUAAAGGGAGCGCAGGCGGCACGGCAAGCCUGAUGUGAAAGCCCGCGGCCCAACCGCGGGACUGCAUUGGGAACUACCGGGCUGGAGUGCCGGAGAGGUAGGCGGAAUUCCUAGUGUAGCGGUGAAAUGCGUAGAUAUUAGGAGGAACACCAGUGGCGAAGGCGGCCUACUGGACGGUGACUGACGCUGAGGCUCGAAAGCGUGGGGAGCAAACAGGAUUAGAUACCCGAGUAGUC